rnacentral:misc_RNA from 1 species
UUUGGCGAACGACGAAAUCGCACGCGGAAAUGUCAGGCGGCGAGCGAAUCGCGAUGACGGAAAACUUUGAAUAUUUAUCAAACAUGGAUGACCGAGUGAGUUUGUUGUCUCAAGUUAUAAUGAACGGUGCGAAUCACAGCAUGAUCGUCAGCAGCGAAGAUUCCAGGUUUCCACAGCCGUUGAGAAUUUUCGCCGCGACAACCGCAAUUCUUAUAAUGAUAACCGGUCUGGUUGGUAAUUUUUUAACCAUAAUAGCACUCUGCAAAUAUCCAAAAGUCAGAAACGUCGCCGCAGCGUUCAUAGUGAGUCUUUGCGUAGCGGAUUUCAUAUUCUGCCUGUUCGUUCUACCCUUCGACUCGAUAAGAUUCAUCAACGCCAGCUGGGCUGAUGUCAAAUUUCUCUGUCACCUGGUGCCAUUUUUGAGAUAUGGAAACGUCGGUGUCAGUUUACUAUCCGUAGCCGCCAUCACGGUGAACAGGUACAUAAUGAUCGCGCAUCACGGACUAUACGCCAAAGUUUACAAAAGACAUUGGAUAGCCUCGAUGAUAUUGGUGUGCUGGUGUUUUUCGUACGGUAUGCAGGUACCGACGCUUCUGGGUGCUUGGGGAAAAUUCGACUACGACGUGAAUCUCGAGACUUGUUCGAUCGUGAAGGACGCCCACGGUCACAGCUCGAAGGCCUUUUUAUUCGUGAUGGGAUUUUUGAUACCCUGCAUCAUGAUCGUCGGAUGCUACGCCAUAAUAUUUUGGGUGGUCCACAGUUCUGAAUCGCGGAUGAGAAAGCACGCGGCACCCCCGACUAUAAAGUCGCCCCACUCGCCGCGCAAGGACACUAAGGAGAUAAAGCAGCGCAGAAGCGAAUGGCGGAUAACAAAAAUGGUAUUGGCGAUAUUCCUGAGUUUCGUCGUCUGCUACUUGCCGAUAACGAUCGUGAAGGUAGCCGACUCAACGGUGGAUCAUCCGACGCUGCACGUCGUGGGUUACCUUUUGCUGUACUUCGCGUCCUGCGUGAACCCCAUCAUUUACGUAAUUAUGAACAAGCAGUACAGACAGGCUUACGCCGGAGUGAUUUGCUGCUCCCGCAUAAGGGCGUCUCUAACACCGCACGGCAGCAGCGCACCAGCUCAAAAUAAUUUGCAACAAGUUUCAGGUGUAGCUGCCGACCCGAACUACCCGAAACUAUUUUUAUUAAAACAAAAUACGUGAAACGAAAACUCUCUAAGACGUUUGCAUGUUCGGUGGCAGUGAAUAUACCGUUAUAUAAUAAAUAGAUCACUCGAGAGAUAGCUACAGCAGAACAAUGGUGUCCACCGUAUCUGUAGCGAUGAAUCCGAUGAGCAAUCCUACCACGAGAAAU